UCCCUGGUGGUCCAAUGGUUAGGGCUUGGUGCUUUUACUACCAGGAUUCAGGUUCAAGCCCUGGUCAGGGAA
rnacentral:tRNA from 1 species